AAGCCCAAUAAACAAGGCCUAAACCAUCAAAAAAUAAGCCCAAACCACAAAAACCAAAACAAUUCAUUACAAAAAAAACGGUUUAUCUUUAGCCUUUAACCUCCCUAAAAUGGGUCGGAUCUUUUAACAAUGGCUUCUUCCUCUUUCACUUUCUCUCUCCUCUUUCUCUCUCUCUAAUCUCUAUCUUCUCUUCUUCUUCCUCGCAAUUCUCUCUCCUCUACUCAAGCUCAAGCUCAAGCUCAAGCUCAAUGGCAGCAUCAAUGGCGUCUUCCCAUUCUUUCCUUACCACCCGAUUAUGCUCACCUUCUCCCCCACUUCACUCUAAACCAACUCCCACCACCACCGCCUCAUUUCGCGCUUCUUCUCUCAGAGCUUCUCUUUCCUCCAAUUUUAUCUCUCCUUUCGUCGGCGGUAGCGUUUCCGGUGAAUUUACCGGCCAUAAACUCCGACGACCUCAUUCUCUUACGUCGUCGAACUCUCGUCCUAAGCGCGGCGUUGUUACCAUGGUCAUACCUUUUUCUAGAGGAAGUGCUUGGGAGCAGCCACCACCAGAUUUGGCUUCUUACUUGUACAAGAACCGCAUAGUUUAUUUAGGCAUGUCUCUUGUACCCUCUGUGACUGAGCUAAUACUUGCAGAAUUUUUAUAUCUUCAAUAUGAGGAUGAAGAAAAGCCAAUAUAUCUUUACAUCAAUUCUACUGGAACCACAAAGGGUGGUGAGAAGCUGGGGUAUGAAACAGAGGCUUUUGCUAUAUACGAUGUUAUGAGGUAUGUCAAGCCACCUAUUUUUACUCUAUGCGUUGGCAAUGCCUGGGGAGAGGCAGCCUUGCUUCUAGCUGCUGGUGCAAAGGGAAAUCGUGCUGCCCUUCCAUCCUCUACCAUCAUGAUGAAACAGCCAAUUGCUAGGUUCCAAGGUCAAGCAAGUGAUGUUGAACUUGCCAGGAAAGAAGUAACAAAUGUGAAGACAGAAUUGGUUAAGCUCUUUUCAAGACAUAUUGGAAAACCUCCUGAAGUGAUUGAGGCUGACAUCCGACGUCCAAAAUAUUUUAGCCCGAGUGAAGCUGUUGAAUAUGGUAUCAUUGAUAAGGUUAUCUACAAUGAAAGAAGCAAAGAGGACAAGGGAGUCAUUGCAGACCUGAAGAAAGCCCAGUUUAUUUAGAUAUUAGAAAGACCUUUGCUGGUGGACAUAACUAUGAUUCAGAAAGUGUGUUCUUCCCUUUUCAACUUCUGUCCACCAGAUUGCAUUAUCUGAUGUUUACCAGCACAAUUAGAUUAGAACUGCAUGAUUCUCCUUCUAUCAGUUUUGGAACCCUGAGAGCCUGUUUGGACUAUCAAGUACCCUCUUUUUACCUGGAGGACAUGCCGUACGUUUAAUAUUUCUACAUUCUUUUCUGAUGAUGUACUACACAUUUAAACAGAAUCUUGAUAUUUUGAUGAUAAUAGGUGUAUGUUUGACGAGGAAAGGGACGAACCUGUAUAUUUGGCUGUUUGUAAGGAAGGUGCUGCCAAGUUAAGAUCAUGUAUAUUUUCUGUUGUCAGGAUUACAAGAUUAGGUUGAUGAAAAUGCCCACAGGAUUUUAUUAUUUUGAUGAAGUGAAAGCCUUGCAGUUUUCCAUUAUCCUAUAAUUCAAAAUAGAUGGUCAAUUGUCCAUUAUCUUAAGAUUCAAAACA